rnacentral:lncRNA from 1 species
CCGGAUCCUUAACCCACUGAGUGAGGCCAGGGAUUGAACCUGCGUCCUCAUGGAUGCUAGUCAGAUUCAUUUCCACUGAGCCACGAUGGGAACUCUUAUAAUUCUAUUCUUUUUCUCACAUUAUCCUCCAUCAUGUUCCAUCACAAGUGACUAAAUAUAGCUCCCUAUGCUGUACAUGACUUUGUUAAUUAAGCCACUAACCAUCAUUUUCAUCAAUCUGCUGGGCAUUACUGAGCAUUGUUUAUUAUCACAUGGUUUUCCCCAAAUUCACAAAAACCAGGUGCCAGUGGGAUGUUUGCCUGCUCUUAGAAGGUCACGUAUAUUCUUACACAGGGAGAAAUUUGGCUCAGAGCACCUCUCUGCCUCACUGGCAAAACCCCAGUCACUUACAGGGGCUCUGCUCCACAUCUGUGCCCAAACUCUCUGCCAGGGCUUGCCCAGAACUGAGAACUCAUCCUGGGUCCUGGAACAGAUAACCCCUGGACCCUGGAUACCUUCCUUCUCGCUGGGGCAUUCAGGGUUAACCAGGAGCCUAAAGCCAGGUGUGUGGGAAAUCCGCUGCCACAGCAACAUGACAGGGACUCAGGCCUCUUUGGCCACCGGGCACUUAGGUUUCCGUGAGGCCUCUUGCUGGAAGAAAAAGUUGGGUGGACACCCAUGAACACAUUCUGUGGGAGUUUGUUUAUCUGCGGGGUCACUUCUAGGCCAAUGGGAAAGGACCUGCCCUCAGGCUUGGGACCUUGAAUGCCACCGUGAGAAGAGAAGACACUGACUCCUUAGUGUCACGCGACAGCCCUGGGUUCUGCCCCGGGGAGUUUAAGCAGGGCUCUGGGAUCCUAAGGAGAGCCUGGGAUCAGGGUGGGGAGGGGAGAGGAGUGGGGGAAGGGGGCUCAGUCCCAGCUGGCUCUGGGCUUCCUCCAGGCCACGUGCUUCCAGCCCCUCGGAGCUCUCACCGCACACAUUUCAAGCUGCAGCUCCUUGGGUUCCCUUUCUCCCGCCCAUCCUUUCCUCUCCUGCUCCCACUAGCCUGCAGGCAUCCUCACUUCCCCAGGCUUCUCCCACCUCUGGGCUCCUCGGCUGAACUCCCGCCUUAAAGCGUGUUUGUAUACUUGACGGGAACUUGGGAGGCAGCGGAGAUGAAGGUCAGUGCUCUGUCAUCUUGCAUCAGAAGCUCUGGGAGACACCUUUGGAAAGGCCCGGGUCUUACUAAGUGCUCCAAUGAAAUCAGGGGGUGAUUAUAUUCAGGAGGGCGUCAGCCUGUGCUGUCUCCCAGGUGGCCUUUGCACAGCCAGACCCUCCUGACAGGGUUUUCUUCCAGGGGCCAAUGUGCUGUGCCCCCCCAAGCAAUGACACAGGUGACUAAGCUCUCCUUGGAGUCCAUGUCCACAUGGACAAGCGUCCAAGUUCAAUGAGCAAGUUCUCCCUGACGUCUCUGCCAAGUCCUCAUUUCCUGUCCCUAGGGGAGUGGCCUCGCCUCCCAGGUCCCCUGCCAAAGGCACCUGGGAGCACAACAAUGUACUUCCCAAAGCCGAGGUUAUUCUUUUAUAAAUCACACAGCAUACAGGACACCAAUUCCGUAACACAGUCGAACAAGCUAAAUGUCACUCAUUCUUCUUUGAGUAUAGUUCCUCCGGCCUGACAUGAAAUGGGUGCGUCCCUGCCUUUCCUACAGGCCUGGCUCCUGACCACCUGUGAGGUCACACACACAUGCAUGCACCAAUGGCCAUGGCAGCAGCAGCAUUGUACCUGGGCCAUACCAUCUGGCCCCAUAGCAGAGAAAAUCACCACCACCCACUUCUCUCCAAAGCAUCACUGAGACUUGUGGAAACCAAGCCAUCAGAACCCUCAGCCUAAAACAUCUGGGAGGCCAGCUUUCUCCAGGCACAAAGGAGGAAACUUGAGUGGGUACGUGUUCUAUAUCCAAGUCAUUCACAUGUUCGUAUUGGUAAGUGGUUGUCCUAGAAAAAUAAGCUACCUACCAAAGCAGAAAUCACGUCUCCUUAGGAGCUAUUUGCAAGUCAAAAUCAUGGUUUUCCAGUCCCCACCAGUUCCAGGGAAGUUGAGAACCUCACUGGGCACACGUUUGGGCUGGGGUAGUGGGUGCUGAAGGAGAGGUGUCCCAGUGGCCUCCGGGCUGCCAUUGACACGGGCGGUGUCCGCUCUCCAGUUAAGUGUGGUGCUGAACUUGCUUAUCGGUUGCGCUGUAAUGCAGGUCUUCAUAAAGUCUUUUUUUUAACUGUUAAAUUUUAAUAACUUGGGUUAUAGGUAGGAUAGAAACAAUAUCUAAGUAGCAUUUAAGAGCAAAUCUAUUAAAUUUUAGGGGACCUGCGUUACAUGGUUAGAAACAUUAUCAUUUAGAUCCUGCGAGGGGAAAUGGGCACGAACGAGAGAAGGAAAAUUGUGUACUUUGGAAAAUACAAUCCAAGCCUAAUAUCAUCUGUGAGAAGAAAAUUCUCUCCUCAUUACCAGGAAGAUUGUUUUUAUCCUACCCAUAACUAACAUUAUUAAAGUUUGAGAACUGUAAAAUGCUUAAUGAGAAAAUGUAGAAUAAAUGAUAGCAGCUAGGGUCUGGACGGGUGUUUGCUGAUGAUCAACGCUAAAUCUCAAUAGUGAGAUAGAGCCACGACCUACACAGGUACCCGCCUCGUAAGUGUGAAAUGACUAAAUGGUAAAAGAGUGGGUAGCUAUGGUAACCACGAUGCCAUCCAGUGGGGGAGGGGAGGGAGGCAUUUCUAGUUGGAUUUAAGGGAAGAGUUGACAUUCCAGCCCAAAGCCCAGGCAGCUGGGCCCACUUCACUUGCUUCAAUACCAUCCCCUGUUCAUGUCCUCCAUACAGGGGGGACCAGGACCCUCAGGACAGAGAGAGGGGCAGCACCUUGCAAAGGAGAGGUACAAGCGAAGGACAGCAGGCACGCUGCCCUCUCGGGGAGUGGACCUCUCCAGACAUGCAUCUGAUGAGGGUUUCACUGGCACGCUGGACAUCUGCAAACUGAGACCAAAAUGCCAACAUGAUCACCCAAAGAUGAGCUGGCUCUCUGCUGCUUUUGCAGAGGGAUGUUGGGUUGGUAAUUGAGCCCUCCACCCUGGGCAAGAGAUGUUUGUUUCUUCCGGCUGCAACUUGGUGGGACUAUGAACUGGGCGGUCACUGUGCCAUUACAUGGAUGGGCCACUUCCUACUAAGACAUUCAUUGUCCUCUUGGAAUUCUGCCUUGAAGAACCUCCUGGAUACUGCUAUAGAUCAGUGGUUAGACUCACUUGGGAGCUUUUUAAAAAUCCUAAUGGCCAAAAGCCACGCUUGGAGAUUCUUGUUUUAUUGCUUUUCAGUGAGGACUGAGCAUUUGUGCGUUUUAAAGAUUCCAAGGAGCCUGGAUGGAGGAUCAUGAACUUGGAGCAGUUUUUCUCCAUCUUGGCUGCACCCUGGGCUUCCCUGAACCUACUGAUGCCCAGUCCUGCCACCAGGAAUUCUGAUCUCAUUGUUCUGGGGUAUGGCCUGCUGCUGGGAUAUUUCAAGCUCGCAGGUGAGUCUAAGGUAGGGACAGUGCUGAGACCUACUCCUGCUCUGGAGGAUGGCCCUGAGGCAGUCUCAGCAGUUGGUGGGAGAGGCACCAGAUCCCUCCCAUGUCUGUUGGUGAAGCCCAGGCAGAUGUUGCAACUGCAGAGAAGGAAUGGCAGCUGGUUGGAGGUAGCAGCUGAACAUGAGAGUUCCUGCAGAUCCUGGCAUGGCUCAGAGAGGGAGAAUGGUUUUCCAUGCACACUAGAUGAGUAUAAACAUGCCAAGUGGUCUUAUAACUUCCUGUUGCAUUUCCAGAGUACAGACAUGAGAGCAUUCAAGUGCUUCCUGAGCUCUUUCAUGAUGGGUGCAGGAGCUGAGAGACAGGGAGGGAUGGUGUUACCAUUGAAAGAGUAUGUUGGGACCAGGUGUGAAAGGCCCUGCAUGCUGAGUGGAAGGCUCUAGCUGUCUUCCACAGGCAGCGGGCUUCUCUGAAGGGUUUGGGGCACAGCCAGGGAGGGUGCAAGGAGCUGACUUUGGGAAGAUGCUUUUCCAAAAUGUGAUCAGAAGAGACAGUAGAAUGGAGGGAGUUUGGCUAAGUGUGGUUGUGACAGUUCAAGAAAGAGGUGAAUUUUCUUCAUUUUUUUCUUGUGAAAAACCAAAAAGAUCCCAUCAGAAUUGUUUCAGGGUCUAUGAUCUCUCAGAGGUCUCACUAGGUAUGAAGGAUACAAAUGUGCUCAGACAAAGAAGCUGCAAACUCCAGGGACCAAACUGGUAACAUGAAUAUGUCAACCUAUGCUGCAAAGGGGGCAGUGGAAUGGGGGGGGUCUUAUGGCAAACUGGACAGUGUAUGUGGAUGGAGGUGUUUCAACAUAAAAUUAUGAAAAUACUAGAGUUAGAUAUUACAUCUUUCUGGGUGAUUUUUGAGCUCUAACCCAGAAGGUGGGCACUGGGGUGAGUGGUCCCAAUUCUCUCAUAGCCCUUUCUUCUCCUUGACAGGAGGCACCUCCCUCCCACUCUUUGAUCACUUCCAUCUUGUUCUUGUCCCUCCUCAUAAGGUAGGGGAAUCCCUGCCAAAGGGUGAUGGUCCAUGGAUGGGAGAGAAGUACCUAGAGAGCCUCAGGGUCUCUUGGAUAGUCCACACCCUCCAUGUGCCAAAGACGGUGGAUGAUCUUCACACACGUCAGCUCAGGACCAGCUUGGGGAGACCUCCUCAUAUCCUCCAUCAAGCAGAAAGCAUGCACUGUCAUCACCUGCCACCACUGACCCCUUCGCGGUACCCUUUCUGCACUGCUACAGCAUACAAUGACCCACAGCUCCAAGCCUGAGAGAAGCUGGGGAAAGGAAAUGGCUCUGUUAGUAAAAUACUGAAGAUUGACUUGCAUCACUUUCCUUUAGCUAAGAAAGAAUGUGGUACAAAUCAUUAGGUAAAAUUUUGAUGUAACUCUUCCUUCAAUUAAACACAAUGAUGGAGGCAAAGUCUGCAUUAGUGUGCAAAUUCCCCGGAGAACAUCCUCUCUGCAGAGUGGAAUGUCUAUUAGCUUUCCGCCAAAAUAAAGGUCACCAGACAGGAGCCUUCCCCAUGCAACUCUUCCUUCCUUGAACAGGCAGUGUAAUCAGGCAGGAUGUGUCACACUCAGGAAACCAAUGGCGCAAUUAUAUCGAAUAUGCCCAGUACAUCACAACCUGGUCCGUUUUUCUCCCAAGGUCCUUAGAAUGUCGUGGGUCUGGGGCCUGACUCUGGGGAGGGCGAGACUGAUCUCUGGUUCAGGGGGCUCCUGAUUACCAAGUUUACCUUCCUACUGUUCUGAUUUAAAGAAGAAACAAAUAAUCUUAGUACCUCAUCCAGGCCACCCUGAGUAUCAGAAGCUUCUUGUGGAUGGUAUAAUCAGCCAAAAACACACAGAAAAAAUAUGAAUCUUGAUCCACCAACUCGUGUGUGCAAGAAUGAAAACUUCAUUUUUCUACAAUGAAAUUUCUUCAUUCAUUCAUUCUCAUCUUCAUUCUCCUGUGUAGCAAAUUAAUCUCAGAUAAUUUGAGGUUCUUACUUGGGAUUGGUUGAAAUUCCAGGAAAUUAUGCAGGGCUAAGUACUCAGGGAGAGAAAAAAAGGUUUGGUCCUCAGUCCUCAGUUCCUGCUGCCAUCCACCAUUAAAAAAAAAAAAAAAAA